rnacentral:rRNA from 1 species
GCGCUAUUGGAGCAGCCGAUGUCAGAUUAGCUAGUUGGUGGGGUAAAGGCCUACCAAGGCAACGAUCUGUAACUGGUCUGAGAGGACGACCAGUCACACUGGGACUGAGACACGGCCCAG